CAGAAAGCAAUUUCAAGCUGCUACUUCCUGAUUCUUUGGGGUACCUGCAAGUCUAUCACAAAAGGGAGCUGCUUCUUAACCUAAACAACAGUGUGAAAAAAGAGAAGCAGCACUGACUGGAAAAAAAAAAUCCAACCAGAAUUGACGGUGUUUGGCAUAGCAAUCCAACAACAUGAGAUCUGGCAUGCUGCUAUAGCUCUGACGGGGCACAGGUGCUGCACAGGCAAUAAAUAGAGACAAGCAGCUCAUGCUUGCUGCUGAGAAGAGCAAAACAAAGGAAGGGAGGACAGCACAGGAGGAGGACGCCAGCACGAUGCAGCAGACUUCCAAAAAGGUUCUCAAGAGCUGUGUUGCACAAGGAGACAGAGCAAGAAGUCUGGUAUUGCUGCCUCCUCCAUCACAUCCAGACCAACACUUCUGCCUUCCUCGAAGGGAUACAGAAUGA
rnacentral:lncRNA from 1 species